CCUACGGGUGGCUGCAGUGGGGAAUAUUGGACAAUGGGCGAAAGCCUGAUCCAGCCAUGCCGCGUGUGUGAAGAAGGCCUUCGGGUUGUAAAGCACUUUCAGUGGGGAAGAAAGCCUUGGGGCUAAUACCCUCGAGGAAGGACAUCACCCACAGAAGAAGCACCGGCUAACUCCGUGCCAGCAGCCGCGGUAAUACGGAGGGUGCGAGCGUUAAUCGGAAUUACUGGGCGUAAAGCGCGCGUAGGCGGUCUGAUAAGCCGGUUGUGAAAGCCCCGGGCUCAACCUGGGAACGGCAUCCGGAACUGUCAGGCUAGAGUGCAGGAGAGGAAGGUAGAAUUCCCGGUGUAGCGGUGAAAUGCGUAGAGAUCGGGAGGAAAACCAGUGGCGAAGGCGGCCUUCUGGACUGACACUGACGCUGAGGUGCGAAAGCGUGGGUAGCAAACAGGAUUAGAUACCCUAGUAGUC
rnacentral:rRNA from 1 species